CAAAGCGUCACACUGCAGACACCAGUUUAGUUGAGUAGGCUUGGACGUCGUGGGGAUUUUGCGAGUGAUUUAUUGAACAUCGAGCUAACAGACAGCGCGGGAAUGAUGAGAGCGGUCGUCUGCACUGCUCGCGAGAGAAAGCGAUGUCGGUGCUAUUGCUCGAUCAUCGCAGAUCUUGGAUUGUUGUACCUCGAUGGCGUUAAAGGGCUUGAAAAAGGAAUGAAAACCUCAAAGAUCUUCGUUUUGUCAUAUUAGAUGAGGAUAGGACCGUGCGUCGAACGUUUGGAUUUGCCCUCCUAUUCCUCUGGGUUCCCUAUCAAGAUUUGAACCAGUUCCACCCACGUGACAGUUCAGAGCGACACGGACUGAACAAAGGGCGCCCCCACUCAAGCUCCUUGGCAAACUGCAGAGAUAGCUGGCGUGUGGGAAU